GGCUAUUGCGAAUAGUGCUUCAAUGAACAUAGGGGUGCACGAAUCUUUCUGAAUUAUAAUUUUGUCGAUAUAUGCCUGGGAGUGGGACUGGUAGGUCCUAUGGUAGUUCUAUAUUUAGUUUUCUGAGGUACCUCCAUACUGUUUUCCAUGGCGGUCGCACCAGCUUAUGUUACCAGCAACAGUGUAGGAGGUUUCCCUUUUCUCCACACCCUCUCUAGCACCUACUAUCUACAGACUUACUGAUGAUGGCCAUUCUGACUGGUGUGAGGUGGUAUCUCAUAGUUGGGUUGAUUUGCAUUUCUUUAACAAUGUAUAUGCUCAUCUCUUACUUGAGCAAAGCCUCCAGAAAUGAGGAAAACAAGCUCUUCAUCUCCUCACUCUUCCACAGGGUGUUGCCCAGGGUCCAGCAUGCCACUUUAAUACAAAUAUUACAGUGGUUGGUGUUGUUCACCAAGAGCUUGGAAGUUGCCGAGCACUACUGGAAACCAGGAUUUCAAAAUGAAACAAAAAUCGCAUAACGUAAAAAUCUACCUACACACAAUACUAACCAUUUUAAAACGAACAGUUGAGUGCAUUUAGUAUAGUUGGUGUUAUGCAAACAUUAUGUCUAAUCCCAAAACAUUCACCAUCCUGAAAAGAAACCCUGUACCCGUUAAGCAGUCACGCUAACCCCGCAGUGCCUGGGAACUACUAAUCUGCUUUCUGUCUCUAUAUAUUUGCCUAUUCUGGACAUUUCAUAGAAAGGGAAUCAUGCAGCAUGUGNCCUUUUGUGUUUGGGCUCUUUCACUGAGCAUCAGGUGUUCAAGGUUCAUCCACAUUGUAACAUGUAUCAAUACUUCAUUCUUCCGAGGUAUAUAACCGAAACACUUGAAAACAAGGAUUCCAACAAAAUUUUCACACAAGCGCUCACAGCAGCAUUAUCUACAACAGUCAAAAGGAAAAAACAACCCAAAUGUCCAUCAACUGAUGAACAGAUAAUCAAAGUGUGGCAUACACAUACAAUGGGAAUAUUAUUCAGCUAUACCUGGGGCUCUUCAUGUACAUGAUUUCAGUUAAUUGUCAGAAAGAGGCUGUAGAAGGCAUCAUGUUUCAUGUCUUCACUUUUUAGAGGAAAAAAGAUAGACUAUCAGAAACAUAGCCAGUCUCACCUCUUCCAGCCCUACCUGUCUACCUGCCUGUGUCCCUGAAAAGGUGCAUCUCUUGAGCUGAAGGCCGGCUCACAUCCCCAUAGAGUGCCUGCACGGGUAGUUAUGAGGCAGGGAGUGGAAACUGGCCUCCGCUUUAUACAGCCCAACCUCAACCUACAUCUGACCCAAGAGCCGUAGAAAUUCUUAGAAAUUCUCCCUCCAUCCACCACCUCUGCCAUGGGUGUUUCCUUUCCACAACGACCAAAACCAUCAUUCACAUUUGUUAUCAUGCCAUGACCAAGGGUCUUUGGCUUCUCAUGAAUCCCAAAUUCACUUUCCUGCACAUAAAUUGCAUUCUCUUUCAUAUACAGCUUUAACCUAUUUAAUUAGAGUCCUAAUUUACUUUUUUUCAGGGGGGAGGGGGAGAAACACACUUUAAUUCUACAAUGGGAUAAAAUGAUACCUUACAAAAAAGACACGAUUGUUUCCUGACCAUGAACUUUUGCUAUUAUGAAUUGCUAAUUUGGUUAAUGGGCUCGUUCUGCUCUGAAAUUUGCAUCAUGAAAAUUACUAGCUUCGAAGAGUCCUCUGUGUACAGCGCAGUUUGCACGUUUUGUUGUAAAGGUCACAUUUGACAUCGUAAAACAGCGGGCCCUUUUGAAAAGGUACAAAUGUAAGAAAUUAAGUGGCCCCGUUGGUAUAAUGUCAUUGUGAAGGAGGGAGAAAAGAUUUUUAAGUUAAUUUUUAUUCAUAUUGUUUACAUGCAUGCAAGCUGAGCUCGGUGUCACGUGACUCCCUUCUCGUGCCCCCGGCACGUUAUCGGCUGAAUUUGUGAUUUGGGGGCACCAGAGACAGGGAAGGUUCUGCCACAGCCUGGGUGGAAUAGCGAGUCUCACACCAACAAAAGAAUAAAUAAAAUAGAGGGUGUCUUCAUCCACAUCUGAAUAGACUUGGGCUGCGGGCAAAGCAGGCCUUGAGACAUCAGAUUGUUUUUUAAGCGCUGUCAGGGGACCCUGUACUUUAAAAUAUCAGCUGUGAUGCAACAGUGUCUGACAACAAGAAAUCAAGCAAUGCCACCCCACUGAUGCACGAUACACAUCUGGACAUCCCUAGGCUGGGUGUGUGAAGUCGGAUACCAGCAUUUACACCUUGGGGCAGAGCUACCCUCCUUGGGGCUUUCAGGAAGCCUUCCAGUGUCCUGGCCGGGAAAAGGGGCCAAGUCCACAUCCGCAGAAGCACUAAGAAGGAAAUUUUGUCACAAGAGGCUCAGCCACCUUCCUGAGUGCCUGCAGAAAUGAGCAGAGGUCAACAGUGUCAGGCCAAGGAUGAUCAAGGUGGCUGGGAGGACAGAGACAGUCCUACGGAGAGGCAGUCGAGCUCACGGCGAGGCACUCCACCCACACACCUUACGAAGUUAAUCCGAUGGCCUCAUUUUCCCGAUCCUGACGUCAUUUUGUUUUGUUUUCUCAUCUACAUCGGGGAUGGUGAUCUCCCUUGGGGUGGGUUGUUGCUGAGGGUCUUUCAAAAGGAACACGGAGGAGUUCCCAUGGUGGCUCAUGGACUCAUAUCCCUAAGGAUGGGGUUUUGAUCCCUGGCCUCGCUCAGUGGGUUAAGGAUCAGCCGUGAGCUGCACUGCAGGUGGCAGACAAGGCUUGGAUCUGGCGGUGCUGUGGCUGUGGUGUAGGCCAGCAGCUGUAGCUCUGAUUUGACUCCUGCCUGGGAACAUCCAUAUGCCGCAGGUGUGGCCCUAAAUAGCAAAAAUAAAAAUAAAAAUAAAAAAUAAAAGAAAAUAAAGGAACCCAGAGCACCUCUCCAUGUCACAUGACCUGGAGAAGAGGGAACAGAUCAAGCACUAACGUUAGGACUUAAUCUUUUUGAUUCCUGUCAGGGCUCUGAGAAGUCCCUCCCAGAGGAAGCAGUGGGCACCCUGCCUUGGGCAUCAGUGGAAAUUUCAGGUCAAUGGAUGGCAUGAAAGUGGUCGUGCAUGAGGAAUGCGUUCACAAGACAGCACAGGAACCACAUCCCUGGAGCUCUGUUCAUGUUGCCCUUGGAAUUGGAAGCCCUGGGCAGAACUGAAAAGGAAGACCAGCUGGGCACACGGGCAGGGAUGGACGAAAGGCACAUGGAGCUUGUGCAAUUGAAGACAGACCCUUCCAGGGGCCGCACGUGGCACAAGAGCCCCUAGCCUCUGGUACCUUCUCUUAGCUGAGUCCUGGGUGGAAUACGGGCUGCCAGGACUCCAUCAGAGGAAAGAGUCCUUUGUGAUAAAGAAAAAGAAAGACCCCUCCCCUCCCCAGAGCACAUGGGGCCUCCCUCCUUCCUCCUGCAAUUACCUCUAGUAAAUUCCCCAUUCAUCUGCACGCCGGUUUCUAUUCAGAGAGGAUUGGAGGCUGUGCUGCUGGGGAGGCGGGGGCGGCUGGGCACAUUCAGACUGGCACAAUCUCCAAUCACCGCACCUGAUGGGGAUGAGCACUUGCUUAUGUGAAAUUUUCAUUUAAAUCCCAGCCUCAGAUUGCGCCAUUUCACAGCAGUGCCCCCAAGCACUUACACACAGAAGGCUUUUCAUCCUCCUAGUCCCGCACAAGUGUUACCUAAUUAAUGUUCAACAAUGUUACCAAACCUCCCUCUUUUAAGACGUAUCAACCUGGAAAGGUCUGGAAUUAAGGAUUUUGAUCUCGAAUGGAUUGCUUUCAUGUAUUUUGGAUAAUUCACACAGCUGCUUAAAGACAGAUAUUCAUCGCCUAUAAACAGCCCCAAGUUCGAGCAGCGACAUAAAUAAACCUUUCCUUAUCUCUCCCAGCAGCCUCCCCUUGCCUGCUUGGGCAGCAAAGGGAUCAAAAAUGCUCCCUCCCGGACUCAGUCGAUGAACACCCGGACUCUGAAGGGUUCUUCAGCCAAGCAGAAUAAACUACCAGGUCGAGAUCCUCCAGGGGCUUCCCUAAGUCCAGACCAGAGUCCCAGCCUGCUCCUCAAAGCAUGGUGGAAGAAGCCUCACUGAGAGAUCAUGAGAAAUGCAGAAUUGGGAACCCGACCUCAGACCCGCUGGACCAGAAUCUGCCUUUAAGCCAAACCCCCAGGUGAUUAGAGAUGACUCCUGGCCACCUCCUGGGCAUGGACCACCCCUCACUCUAUUUCACUAGCCUCCUUGCUGUUCCUCAAACUCAGCACAUACACCCCAGUCUCAAGGCAUUUGCCCUGGCUGUGCCCUCUGGCCAGGUGUGCUUCCCAAGCCACACCUGGGAACACCUCAAGGUGUGCUAUUUACAUAGCCAAGGACAUAAAGAGCACUGUCCAUGGCUCCUGAGCCACUGCCCCCAGGAGUCGGGUGGUACAGCUGCCCUGUGCAAGGAUCUGGGUAAGUGCCCUCCUUUCGAAGAAGAAUUACUGUUCACCAUUAGCUAAAAAACCUCCUAUGAGUCUUUUCCUCCCCACCCUCUUUAUCAUUGUUCACUGCAUUCACCACUACCUGACACCACAUCACGUGUCCACAUGCUUAUGGAGCUUAUUGCCUGUCUUCCUUUGGUAGCGUUCAUUCUCUACGAAAUCAGGGACUCUGUAUCUGCCACCACCCCACCACCCACCACCCACACUGCAUUCUCAGCACCUAGAACAGAGUCUGUCUAAUAACCGGUACACAAUGUGUAUGGGUACAUGUAUGCUGUGUGAACAUGCAUGUGCAUGUGUGUGUACAUGUAUAAGAUUAGAGAUUCUCCGUCUUCUGAUUCACAACAAUGCAGGGCUAAUGGAUAAACUGAACUUCUGUGCAAAAAAUCCCUUUUCAUUUCUGCAGAUUUUUUCAGAGGGGGAUGUGGUCCAGUUCAACGCCAAGGAAAGGGCCCCACACCUGGGCAAGAAGCCACUUCUCCUUGGCUGCUACAGAAGCCCUUUUAUAUUCUUCCAGUUUUCCCUGGGCUGCACAUAAGGCAAAGAUAGGCCACACAGUCGCCAUCAGAUGCAGCACCUGGCACCAUGAAAAGAAGUAGCCAAACGCCCAGUGGACACCACUAAGUCGGAAAGCCAGCUCUGUGCAGGGAGGGCUAAAAGAGAUUCUUAGUUUGUCUGGUUAACUUAAUGGUUCUUACUUUAGCAGAAAACAGCCCAUAACCCACACUGUGUGCCUUCAAAGGCACGAGGUGAAGGAAUCAACAAUCAUAACAAAGAGAACAGAGUGAUACCAACCCAGGAGACUAGAGACAGUGUCUACACUCUGACAAACAUCCAAAUAAACAGUCAUCUGGUUCUGCUCAAGUGCCAAUCAGGCCCCUGCUGCAGUCCCUGUAUGUAGCUUGACAGGUACAGGAGUGAAGCAGGACAGAUACGAGUGGCAGCAUUACAGGGAUGAUGACUAGAAAUUAACCCAGAUGCUAGGUGUUGAGGGGCAACAGAGAGUGGUGGAGACUGUAGUAAACAGAAUUCAUGCUCCUUCUAGAGGGGGAAGCUGUUAACUAGUUGGCUAGUGUCAUUUUGGAAUAUGGACCCAAUGUUACCAGACCCUCUGACUCAUCGAGACUUUUAUUAAGCCUCCGGGUUUUGGUUUACAAAUCAUAAAUGCUGGAGAGGGAGAGUGUGGAGAAAGGGAACCCUCCUUUGGCUUUCUGUUGAUGGGAAUGUACAUUGGUGCAGCCACUGUGGAGAACAGUAUGGAGAUUUCCCCCCCCCAAAAAAAAAAA
rnacentral:lncRNA from 1 species